AGCAGCCACUGAAUGCAUUGUCACAGACGAUUCUGAAGUGGCUGAGACUUUCAUAUCUCAAGUUGACAGGUGCAAGGGAAAGAUAUGAAUUAUGUUAAAUGUGUAGCAGAGAAACUGGGUUUGGAUGGUUCUGAUGCUCCUCGCACUUACAUUGAACAAAUUCAGCUAGAAAAGCUUGUGAAUGAUGUGAUGGUAUCAAUUACUCAUGCUACCUUCUGCUUAUGCUUUGCGUAUUCGUACACGGAACCACUGAUAAUCUAGUCAAACUUCAAGCACUGAUAGAUAAUCUGAAGACAAAACUGAACAUAGAUGAUGAUUCAGUUUCAAUCCCCAAAGAAGCAUUUUCCAGAGCUUCUCCAGAUAGGAGAAUGAAGUAUCUUAAUUGAGGUAUUUGACAGUCACAUUCAAAUCAAAGGAACAAGAUUCUACCUAAGUUGACUAAACUUGCUAUAAAUAACAGAUGAUUUGAGGGGAGAGCUCUAGAACCACCUGCUCCGAUUGCCAACCAAAUAAGAUAUAUUUGCUAUAAGAAAUCAUUUUGUCCACUUAUUUAUUAAUGUAUUAUUACGUGUUGUUCUUAUUUUAUGGAACCUAGAAAAGCUAUUUGUUGAGUCUGUUGUAGAUAGAAACGUUGAAAGAAUAAUGAGAUGCAAUUGCACUGCAUAAUGGCAAUAAACUUAGAGAAUGGGAGAAAGUUUAGAUCAAACUUUCAUGGAAAUUAUAUUUAUGCAUUAUUUCGGCUUAGAGAUGGUGCUAAAAGAGUUUCAGCCUGCCAACAAAACCUGGCUUUACAGGUUGAGAUAUGAAAAGGCUCUAGCCAUACUUCUCUCUGUUACUGGAUUAGGCAAUGGUUCAUCUAUUGGAUCAUUGCUACUUAAUUCCAGUUCAUCCUCUCAAAUUGUUAGAGAGUCUCCCCCUGAUGGAAGAUGUAUGUCAUUUAUCCUCUCAUUUCAAAUUCACAUGAUCAUGAUAGUAAGAGUUGUAUUGCAUUAAAGUACAUA